CCCUGAGGUGCAAAACACAAUGGCAAAUCAGAAAACACAACACAAAAAGAGAAAACACAAUAGAUUGUGUUGUUGUGUUUUCUGAUUUGACGUUGUGUUUUGCACCUCAGGG